rnacentral:rRNA from 1 species
UACGUAGGGUGCAAGCGUUGUCCGGAAUUAUUGGGCGUAAAGAGCUUGUAGGCGGUUUGUCGCGUCUGCUGUGAAAUUUCGGGGCUCAACCCCGAACUUGCAGUGGGUACGGGCAGACUAGAGUGCGGUAGGGGAGACUGGAAUUCCUGGUGUAGCGGUGAAAUGCGCAGAUAUCAGGAGGAACACCGGUGGCGAAGGCGGGUCUCUGGGCCGUAACUGACGCUGAGGAGCGAAAGCGUGGGGAGCGAACAGG